rnacentral:rRNA from 1 species
UACGUAGGUGACCAGCGUUGUCCGGAUUUACUGGGCGUAAAGCGCGUGUAGGCGGCCACGCAGGUCCGUUGUGAAAACUAGAGGCUCAACCUCUAGACGUCGACGGAAACCGUGUGGCUAGAGUCCGGAAGAGGAGAGUGGAACUCCGAGUGUAGAGGUGAAAUUCGUAGAUAUUCGGAAGAACACCAGUGGCGAAGGCGGCUCACUGGUCCGGUACUGACGCUGAGGUGCGAAAGCGUGGGGAGCAAACAGG